CUGUAUGAACAAAUUGGCGUGGUCUAAGUUGCCCUUUGAGAUUACCGCUGAAGUGGCAGCCAUUUGUUUUCGUCUCACUCCACGUUGCAUCAAACAACCUCACGUUGAAUCAUUCAAGCUCAAAACUAUGCAAGAGCAAGCAUAUCACAACCAAACCACAAUGGAUCUGAGGAAUCGGUGUACAUGUGCGUAAAAACUUUGUCGUGCUGCUAAUGAAGUUAUUAGCCUUAAAAUGGGUAAAAUAAGCUUUUACUUGAAAAUGAAUAAGAAGAUUCAGAGUGAUGCUCUAAAAAUGAAGAAUCAAGCUAGUGACUUAAAAUACUAUUGUACAAACAGUCCAUUUUAUUUGUUCAUUUUGGUGGCAGUCACAAUCUGAUGUGCUGCUUAUCAUUUUCUGGAAUGUGGUUCAUGACUGCAUUCCCCACCUCUGGAUGAUAAAAGUCCAAUCAAAUGUUACCAGUAUAUGAGAAUGUUUGAAUGCAAGGAUUACACUGAUGAAGAACCUAAAAAGAAUAACUUCAUGCUUCAUACCUGUACCACAAUAAAAGGUUGUGCAGCUGUGCUAUAUAUGUGAUUCUACAUUCAUUUUGACUAUGUGGAAUAUACUGACUUGUUUCAAUCAAAUUGCAAAUAUCUGAAUCUAGGGUUAUGGGUCAGUGUUAGACUUUUACUUGAACACAGUCAAUAUCAGUCAUUAAUAGAUUGGGCAAAAAGACCAACCCUUUUAGUUUUCUAUGGACAGAAUCAUGUGGGCACCACACACUGCCAAUAUCUGAGCUAGUUUUUAUAUGAUUUUGUAUAGUGUUCCCCAUUGCCUGUAGCCUGGAGUGUGUCAAUGAGGGGGAGGUGGUUGUUGGAUUGGGGCUGCAAUUCCUUGGAAAUGCACUAAUGCUCAGCAGAAAUCUUAUAUUCAUUCUUUUGUUGAACCAAUAAAUGGCGGAAAUAGA